UACGUAGGGACCAAGCGUUGUUCGGAUUUACUGGGCGUAAAGGGCGCGUAGGCGGCGUGUUAAGUCACUUGUGAAAUCUCUAAGCUUAACUUAGAACGGUCAAGUGAUACUGAUGUGCUAGAGUGCAGAAGGGGCAACCGGAAUUCUUGGUGUAGCGGUGAAAUGCGUAGAUAUCAAGAGGAACACCUGAGGUGAAGACGGGUUGCUGGGCUGACACUGACGCUGAGGCGCGAAAGCCCAGGGGAGCGAACGGG
rnacentral:rRNA from 1 species